AGUGAACGCUGGCGGCGUGCUUAACACAUGCAAGUCGAACGCGAAAGGGACUUCGGUCCUGAGUAGAGUGGCGCACGGGUGAGUAACGCGUAAGUAAUCUACCCCUGUAUUCGGAAUAACCCACCGAAAGGUGAGCUAAUACCGGAUACGUUUAUCUUGAUGCGAAUGAUGAUAAAGAAAGGUGGCCUCUUCAUGAAAGCUACUGUACAGGGACGAGCUUGCGUACCAUUAGCUAGUUGGUAGGGUAAUGGCCUACCAAGGCGACGAUGGUUAACGGGUCUGAGAGGAUGAGACGCCACGCUGGAACUGGAACACGGACCAGACUCCUACGGGAGUCAGCAGUGAGGAAUAUUGCGCAAUGGGGGCAACCCUGACGCAGCGACGCCGCGUGGAUGAUGAAGGCCCUUGGGUCGUAAAAUCCUGUCAGAUGGAAAGAAAUGUAUAGCAGCUAAUAUCUGUUAUAUUUGACGGUACCAUCAAAGGAAGCACCGGCUAAUUCCGUGCCAGCAGCCGCCGUAA
rnacentral:rRNA from 1 species